rnacentral:tRNA from 1 species
UAUAAUAUAAUUAUAUAGGGGCGGAUGUAGCCAAGUGGAUCAAGGCAGUGGAUUGUGAAUCCACCAUGCGCGA